AUAUCAGUCAUGCAUAGCAUAUCAAUAAGCGGAGGAAAAGAAACUAACAAGGAUUCCCCUAGUAACGGCGAGUGAAGCGGGAAGAGCUCAAAUUUGAAAUCUUAAAAGGUUUUCCUUUUACGAAUUGUAGUUUAAAGAAGUGUUUUCUGUUAAAAUUUUAGUAAAAGUUCUUUGGAAUAGGACAUCAUAGAGGGUGAGAAUCCCGUAUUUGACUAGAAUUUUUUUAACUUUGUGAUACACUUUCAAAGAGUCGGAUUGUUUGGGAAUGCAGUCCAAAAUGGGUGGUAAAUUUCAUCUAAAGCUAAAUAUUGGCGAGAGACCGAUAGCGAACAAGUACCGUGAGGGAAAGAUGAAAAGAACUUUGAAAAGAGAGUUAAAUAGUACGUGAGAUUGUCAAAAGGGAAGCGUUUGGCACCAGUGUUGUUUUUCUAAAAAUCAAUUUAAAAUUUACUUAUGUUAAGUAUUUUAGACUUUAUCAGCUAUAUAUUUAAUUUUUUGUAAUUUUUGAAUGCACUUUUCAGUUAACAAGUCAACAUCAAUUUCUUUUGUUGUAAAAAAGGUAAGAGGAAGGUGGCUUGCGCAUUCUUCUCAAGUGUUUAUAGCCUUUUACUCCUGCAAUCGGGAGGAUUGAGGUCUGCAGCAUAGAUCCUUCGGGGUUAGAUGCAUUUGUGCUAGAAGCUUAGUAGCUUAUCAUAAACAACUUGUUGACUAUGUUUAGUCAUGCUGCUUUACUCGCUGAGUGCUAUUUUACCUACGCUUAGGAUGUUGAUAUCGCGCUCUCACUG
rnacentral:rRNA from 1 species